UACGUAGGGGGCAAGCGUUGUCCGGAUUUAUUGGGCGUAAAGAGCGUGUAGGCGGCCGGAUAGGUCUGUUGUGAAAACUCGAGGCUCAACCUCGAGACGCCGAUGGAAACCAUCUGGCUAGAGUCCGGAAGAGGAGAGUGGAAUUCCUGGUGUAGCGGUGAAAUGCGCAGAUAUCAGGAAGAACACCCGUGGCUAAGGCGGUUCUCUAGUACGGUACUGACGCUGAGACGCGAAAGCGUGGGGAGCGAACAGG
rnacentral:rRNA from 1 species